rnacentral:lncRNA from 1 species
AGAGAGGCUCUGAGCCUGCUUCUGUGCUGCGGGAGUGUCUCUCUCUCCCUCCCUCCCCUCUCCCUGCUUCUGCACAGAAACACACACGCACAAACACAGAGAAAUAAGGGAAAGUACCGGGACUUAUCCUGCUGCUGCUGCAAACCCAAAGAUAGCAGACGAAGAGGGGGUUUGGCUCCUACCCCAAGGUAAAGCCCUGCCCCCUUUACCUCCUCGACACCUCCUCCGAGGAAGAGAAGGAGAGAGAGCGAAGGGGGCCAAAGUGGAGAAAAGCAGAUCUUCUGCGGCUGGCAUUUGGAGUACAGAGAGCCAGGAAGUGAAGGAUGGUUGUGGUUACCCGAGCUGGCUGCAGGGCAGCUCUCUUCCUCUGGGUUUUCAUCAGCAUUAGCUGCAGAGCCAGGACUGCUCUGCCUGCAUCUCGGAACAAGUUUGGUGAACAGAGCAGCAGGAUAAUGCCAGAGAGACCAGUUUGGAUGCCAUGGCUGCAGUCAGGUUGAGCUUGGCUCUGCUUCUUUUUUUCCUACACUUUUGUUAUUAACAUUGUUGCUGUUCCUGUUCAUUUACUUUUCUCAUUGCUGUUUCC